UCUUCACUGAGGUUGGGAAUAAAGAAGAAGAUGAAAGAAUUGAAUGAGAGGUUGGGAACGAAGUUAGUGAAGAAGGAAGAAGAGAUCCCAGCGAAUUCUAUUCAGCUAAGUUGAGUAACUGCCUGAAACCCGCAAGCACAACCACCCAAAUCAGAAUUGUGGCAGAUACUGAUAUGGAAACAACAACCAACCGUCAAUAGAAUCUCACAAUCUUUGGGUUGUCCUCUCAGUUGGACAUGGCAGAAACCGCAACAGAGAAAGCAAACAUAAGAGAUAUAAUGAAAGCUUUAUAGAUUGAGUUGACAACUUAGGGACUCUUCCCAUCAAGGAAAUUUCCUUAAAGGGAAGUUGAAACAAAGUAACUAUUGUCAUGUAACAGAGAGCAAAAAUCAUUUCUUCAGGCCACACUCCUCCUCGAUUCCUCACUGGGAUCUCUGUGUGCUUGUUGUCCUUGAUCACAGAUACAAAUUUACGAGAGAAAACAAGGUGAAUUUGGUUCACGAUUAGCUCAACAAGCCAUCCAUAACACAGCCCCAGGAUAUGAGAGGAACUAGGGUACCUUCAGCCUUAUUCACACUAAGCCCCAAAAUCGAUUGAAGAUAAAGGGUCUACAAGAGCUUGUAUUCAUCCACUAUAACAAGUGACUACGUGCCUACAAUUGCAUAAUUUGCACUUGCAAGGUGCUUUUAGGUAAGGCUACCCAGUAUGAACCAACAAUGCAAGAUCUUGAUGACCAACAAAGCUAUUACCAAAGUGUUGAUGACACUCCUACUUAGUUGGACCUAGAAGUCCCAAACAAAAAAGGGGUUGAAGAACAAAUAGAUAUUCAGCUGCAUCGAAGUAGUGGAUUUGAAGGCGUGUGAGGCAUGGUUUCAAGUAUCGGUAUCGUAUUGUCCAUAUCGUAUUGGUAUCAGCUGAGACCAAUCCUCGAUCUUGAUCAAUCUGGAUUGAUUAUCUGUAUCAUUUCAGGAGUAAAAUAGUAAAAAAAUAUACUCUUUUUUGAAAAGCAAGGGGAAAAAGUGACCGAUACCCCCUGAUCCUCUACGAUACUGAUCCGAUCCUAGACCAAUACCGAUACCGAGAACUAAAUCCAGUUCCUAUUGUAUUUCAAGAUUUUGUUUUGAUA